GACGAACGCUGGCGGCGUGCUUAACACAUGCAAGUCGAGCGAUGAAGCUCCUUCGGGAGUGGAUUAGCGGCGGACGGGUGAGUAACACGUGGGUAACCUGCCUCAUAGAGGGGAAUAGCCUUCCGAAAGGAAGAUUAAUACCGCAUAAGAUUGUAGUGCCGCAUGGCAUAGCAAUUAAAGGAGCAAUCCGCUAUGAGAUGGACCCGCGUCGCAUUAGCUAGUUGGUGAGGUAACGGCUCACCAAGGCGACGAUGCGUAGCCGACCUGAGAGGGUGAUCGGCCACAUUGGGACUGAUACACGGCCCAGACUCCUACGGGAGGCAGCAGUGGGGAAUAUUGCACAAUGGGGGAAACCCUGAUGCAGCAACGCCGCGUGAGUGAUGACGGUCUUCGGAUUGUAAAACUCUGUCUUCAGGGACGAUAAUGACGGUACCUGAGGAGGAAGCCACGGCUAACUACGUGCCAGCAGCCGCCGUAACAC
rnacentral:rRNA from 1 species